rnacentral:rRNA from 1 species
GACGAACGCUGGCGGCGUGCCUAAUACAUGCAAGUUGAGCGAUGAAGAUUGGUGCUUGCACCAAUUUGAAGAGCAGCGAACGGGUGAGUAACGCGUGGGGAAUCUGCCUUUGAGCGGGGGACAACAUCUGGAAACGAAUGCUAAUACCGCAUAACAACUUUAAACAUAAGUUUUAAGUUUGAAAGAUGCAAUUGCAUCACUCAAAGAUGAUCCCGCGUUGUAUUAGCUAGUUGGUGAGGUAAAGGCUCACCAAGGCGAUGAUACAUAGCCGACCUGAGAGGGUGAUCGGCCACAUUGGGACUGAGACACGGCCCAAACUCCUACGGGAGGCAGCAGUAGGGAAUCUUCGGCAAUGGACGAAAGUCUGACCGAGCAACGCCGCGUGAGUGAAGAAGGUUGUCGGAUCGUAAAACUCGGUUGGUAGAGAAGAACGUUGGUGAGAGUGGAAAGCUCAUCAAGUGACGGUAACUACCCAGAAAGGGACGGCUAACUACGUG